GACGAACGCUGGCGGCGUGCUUAACACAUGCAAGUCGAACGAUGACGACCGAGCUUGCUCGGUCUGAUUAGUGGCGAACGGGUGAGUAACACGUGAGCAACCUGCCCUUCACUCUGGGAUAACCUCGGGAAAUCGGGGCUAAUACCGGAUAUGAGCUCCUGUCGCAUGGCGGGUGUUGGAAAGUUUUUCGGUGAAGGAUGGGCUCGCGGCCUAUCAGUUUGUUGGUGAGGUAGUGGCUCACCAAGGCGAUGACGGGUAGCCGGCCUGAGAGGGCGACCGGCGACACUGGGACUGAGAGACGGCGCAGACUCCUACGGGAGGCAGAAGUGGGGAAUAUUGCACAAUGGGCGAAAGCCUGAUGCAGCGACGCCGCGUGAGGGAUGACGGCCUUCGGGUUGUAAACCUCUUUCAGCAGGGAAGAAGCGAAAGUGACGGUACCUGCAGAAGAAGCGCCGGCUAACUACGUG
rnacentral:rRNA from 1 species